rnacentral:lncRNA from 1 species
UUUUCUAGCAAAGUUAAGUCAAUGAUGGAUUAUCUCUUGAAAAGUAUGGCAAGGUCACUAAAUUUGGAAGAAGGUAGUUUCUUGGACCAGUUUGGGAAGCAAUCAUUACUACAAGCUAGGGUGAACUUCUAUCCACGUUGUUCAAGACCUGAUUUAGUUCUUGGUGUCAAACCUCACACUGAUAGAUCAGGAAUCACAACUCUAUUACAAGACAAAGAAGUGGAAGGUCUUCAAGUUUUGAUAGAUCACAAAUGGGUCAAUGUUCCCACAAUCCCUGAUGCUCUUGUUGUCAAUCUUGGUGACCAAAUGCAGGUAGGUGAAUAAGGUUUUAUAAUCUCAACAAGAGCCUAAUCUUGGUUAUCCAAAUUCAUAAAAAAGUUUAUUUUAGGUUUUAAGUUAAUCCUCUAUGUUUAAAAAGUUUUAAGUUGGUGAUGUUCGUAUAAGUUCGCCUUUUCGGUCAAAUUUUUGAGUUAAUUCUAUCUAAAACUUUCACGUAUGCAACUUUGUUAGUCACGUGGAAGAUUUAAACGGAAAUUAAUUUGACAAAAAUGACCAACUUAUUAUAACGUAAGAAACUAACUUAAUGCUUUUUAAAUGUAUGAGAACAAAUUCAAACCUUGUAAGUGACCAAGCAUGCAAUUUAGUUAAAAUGAAAAUACUAAUUUGUAGUUGGUUAUUGUUGUAGAUCAUGAGUAAUGGAAUAUUCAAGAGUCCAAUGCACAGAGUUGUGACAAAUACAAAAAAGUUGAGGAUGUCUAUAGCAAUAUUUAAUGAGCCAGAACCAGAGAAUGAAAUUGGACCUGUUGAAGGCUUAAUAAAUGAGACACGUCCAAGAAUGUAUAGAAAUGUGAAUAAUUAUGGUGAUAUCAACUAUAGAUGCUAUCAAGAGGGGAAAAUAGCACUUGAGACGGUCAAAAUUGCAGAUUAAUAUGAUCAUCAUAAGUGAGAGUGACACUAUUUUACAUUUAAAAUCUCAAUGAUUUAAGGUUUGAAUGGACAUGUUAAUGUUCGGGUUAUUUGGUAAAAAAACUAUGAAUGGUUGAGAGACAGAAACCUACCUGCACUCCUUUUAUUUUUGCUCAAGUUACCUAGUAACUAGAAUGCUGUGGCAAAUGUGAGUUAAGUCUCACAUUGCUUAGAAAAGUGGAGGUUGAACACUUUAUAAGUGAGAAGACCCAUAAACCUAACACCUUAAGGUUUUUGGUUAAAGUGUGGUGUCCAACUCACUUGUGAGGUUGUUCUGAGCCCAAUGUGGAUGAUCCCCUGAUUGUCCCUUCGUGACCCAACAUAGAAUUCAAGCUCAUAAUCCAGACAGAAAAUCUCUAAUUAUUCUGAACAUAUUAAAGGUUACAGCUUAAUCUCGGCAGAAUUAGUUGUUUAAAGAAAAAGAAUGAUAGUAAUAGAUAAUAAAUUGCAAAACAACUUUAUAGGUGGGGUUGGUGAAACGUCGCGUCUGCACGGUUGUUUGUGAAGAGGGAGAGUAUACUUAGAGAUUAGAUACAUGAACCUUUAGCAUGAAAGGGAUAUAUAGGCCUCCGACGCGGAGCCACAACCAUCAAUGUAAGAACAAAUUUGACGACCUCCACAUUAAUGGUUGUCGGAAUAGUUUGCCUAAAUGUCAUGAUUGGCUUUACUCGUUAGCAGAUGCAGCUUGUAUUACUUUUUCUACAUAUUUCUAACUUCUUUUUUGGGGCGCUUAUUGAUCUACCUUUUUGAUAUCUUAGAAAAAAAAAAGUAAAAGAAAAGAAAUUUAAUUAAAAAUUUAGGACUAAAUAAAAGUAAGAAACUAAAAUAAUUAAGAGUGGAAAUAGUAUUUUUAAAUUUUUUUGUUGUCGAAGCUAAAACAUUUCAUUCAUUCAAAUAGUUAAAAUAGCCAAAGGUUAUACCAUGAAUAGAUCACUACCUACUAUUAGAGUAAAAAUCAGACUUGCUCCAUACUUAUACAUCUACUUGAUCACAGCAAACUUGACUUAAGAAUAAAUGAAGCAAAACCUGCAUGCUAAAACAAUACUAUACUACUACCAAAAGAAAACAAAGAUACACAUAUUUAAAAUCUAUCUUCAUGUUUUCUGCAUUCAAUUAUUGCAUUUCUUGUAAAAGGGCAGGCAAGACAUGAAGUGGAACAUUACUAGAAUUGAGAGUUGGAACUUUUUAACACACCCCCUCUCGCAGUGCUUUUAGCACAGAUAUAAAUGGUGGAUGGUCCGAUCAGAACUUGAUAGCAGGCGGUCCAGUGGAUCAUAGAGGAUGCUCUGAUACCAUCUUAAAAUUGAGAUUGGACCUAAUCAUCCCUACAAAACCGGUUUGUAAUGUGAUGAUUGCUCUCACUUAUAAACACAUAUUCAGACCAUCUCGCAACCGAUGUGGGAUUUUUUAACAGUCGUGAGUGGGCUUUUCGUGUAAUAUCGUCCACAAUUUAUUUUUUGAAAGGGAAAUAUCCUUAUGAUAUAGUUCUGUAAUCAUAUAGCAUGUGAGAAAUAUGAGUUGUUUUAGUUCAUAAUAUCACUCACUAGCUAUAUUCACCAUAUUGAAUGCAGUAAGAAUUACAAAAAUAUCUGUAAGUGUAUUUUCUAUCAGUAAUUUCAUGGAUCAAUUUGAUUAAGAGAAGAAAGAUACCACUGACAAAAUUUCAGAUUGUUCAUCUUAUUUAUAACUCACAGAUAGAGAGACAUGGCUAGCAAUUUGCUUGUUUAAGAGGAAAAAUUAGUUCCAAGGAGCAUCCAAGAAAUGUCUAUGGAUGGUGAUGAACCACCAUCAGAAUAUUUAGUCAAAGGAAAUAGUUUUGGAUCUAAAGAAGAUUCUUCAACACUGAUUCCAAUACCUAUCAUUGAUGUAAGUCUUCUUUCAUCACAAGCUGAGCUAGAGAAGCUAAGAUCUGCCCUAAUAAGUUCAGCUGGAUGCUUCCAGGUGAGUCUGGAUUUACAAUAACUUAAUUUGUAUGUGUAUAAGUACUUAAGUUUCAUAGGUUAUUCUAAUUAAAAUAUUAAGAUUAAGCUAGAGUGCUCAUUGAGAGAUAUUAAGCUGCAAAAGUUAUGAUCAAUCGCUAAAUCAAUCGUUAACGUUAAGUGAUCAAUAGUUUAGCAAUAUUUUGCAAAUCAAUCUCUAAAUUAAUCAUAAACUCAUUUAGCAACUGAUUAUAAGAAACAGUUGCUAAAUAGUUCGCUAGAUAAACUCAAAUAUUUUGUUACUAUAUUCGCCACUAAACAAAUUUAUAGUAGUAAUAUAUAGGAUCCUGAAAAGUGUUUGGGAGGUUGAUUUAUUUUCCUCUUUGGUCUUAUGAAUGUAACUUAACUAUGUUUGGUAUACUUCUACUCAUAGGCAAUUGGUCAUGGCAUGUCAUCUUCAUAUCUUGACAAAGUACGUGAAAUUGCAAAACAUUUUUUUGCACUUCCGGUUGAGGAAAAACAGAAGUAUGCUCGGGCUCCGAAUGAAUCUGAAGGAUAUGGAAAUGAUAUGGUAGUUUCGGAGAAUCAAGUUCUUGAUUGGUCUUAUCGCUUGACCCUUCGAGUUUUUCCAAAAGAAAAACGAAGACUUGCUCUUUGGCCAGAAAAUCCUAGUGAUUUCAGGUACUACCCUUUUCUAACGGCGUAGUGAAUUCAAAUGUGUAUAAUCUAAUCAUCUUUUAAAUAAAAUCCUAUCGUCCUCAUAUAUCUCAUUCGCUCGUUGAAUGUUCUAAAAAACCUAACUUAGCAUUAUAUUGAACCAAUUUAUCUAUUACUAUAAUGACUUCUUAAAUGUAACAUUUUUAAAUAUCAUGCAGUGAGACAUUAGAAGAGUUUUCUACUAAAGUUAAGUCAAUGAUGGAUUAUCUCUUGAAAUGCAUGGCAAGGUCACUAAAUUUGGAAGAAGGUAGUUUCUUGGACCAGUUUGGGAAGCAGUCAUUACUACAAGCUAGGGUGAACUUCUAUCCACGUUGUUCAAGACCUGAUUUAGUUCUUGGUGUCAAACCUCACACUGAUAGAUCAGGAAUCACAACUCUAUUACAAGACAAAGAAGUUGAAGGUCUCCAAGUUCUCAUAGAUGACAAAUGGGUCAAUGUUCCUACAAUACCUGAUGCUCUUGUUGUCAAUCUUGGUGACCAAAUGCAG